GACGAACGCUGGCGGCGUGCCUAAUACAUGCAAGUCGAGCGAGCGGAACUAACAGAUUUACUUCGGUAAUGACGUUAGGAAAGCGAGCGGCGGAUGGGUGAGUAACACGUGGGGAACCUGCCCCAUAGUCUGGGAUACCACUUGGAAACAGGUGCUAAUACCGGCUAAGAAAGCAGAUCGCAUGAUCAGCUUUUAAAAGGCGGCGUAAGCUGUCGCUAUGGGAUGGCCCCGCGGUGCAUUAGCUAGUUGGUAAGGUAAAGGCUUACCAAGGCGAUGAUGCAUAGCCGAGUUGAGAGACUGAUCGGCCACAUUGGGACUGAGACACGGCCCAAACUCCUACGGGAGGCAGCAGUAGGGAAUCUUCCACAAUGGACGCAAGUCUGAUGGAGCAACGCCGCGUGAGUGAAGAAGGUUUUCGGAUCGUAAAGCUCUGUUGUUGGUGAAGAAGGAUAGAGGUAGUAACUGGCCUUUAUUUGACGGUAAUCAACCAGAAAGUCACGGCUAACUACGUG
rnacentral:rRNA from 1 species